AGGUGUCACUAAUCAGGCUCAGUGGAAACAGAACCUAUAAAGAAGGAGACUCGUUAAAUCUGACAUGUGAUGUGAACUGCACACACAGUUCCUCACAGUUUGUGUGGUCUAAGAACAACGAGCAGUUAAACACAUCAGGACCUGUUCUUCACUUUCCUGCUCUAACCGUGAGGGAUUCUGGGAAUUACACCUGCACUUGGAAAACCAACGAGGCGUCAGGAUCUGAAACGAUCAGCCUUCAGGUCGAGGGUGAAAAUCCUGAAAAUCCUGAUCACUGGCCAAUCUGGAUCAUUGUUGUGUUGACAGCCGGACUGAUUUUCAUCAUUGUAGCUAUCCCAGCUGUGAUUUACAACAGGAGGUUUUUGUGUGAGCGCAGGAGUGUCGACACUGAGCAGCAGAAGGAGGGCGAUUCUGAUAUCGACAUUGAUGUCCAGCAGAAUGAAGACGAUUCUGAUAUCUACGCUAAUGUCCAGCAGAAGGAGGACGAUUCUGAUAUCUAUGCUAACGUCUAAUAGCAAUGAGCUGAUCACAGUUUCACACCUCAUGCUCAACAUAGUCUUCUUCUUGUGAAUUUCCUGUGUGAGAUGAAAAAGUUACACACCCCUUACAUUUCCUUUGUGUUGCAUUUGAGCUUAAUUUCAAGAUAGACAACUUAACCAUUUAUUACAUUUAUUGGAAUUUCAGUCAUGGAGCAAUUUUUGAAGUUGGUUUAGAAACGAUUCUUAAUUUCUAUUUAUUUAUUACUUUUGCUGUAUAAUUACAACUGAUACACAAAUGAAACCUACACAACCUGUAACAGAAACCAACACACACUUGUCUGUAUACACGGCAUAUUUAGUAAAUACUUCCAGUCUCUUUGUGUUAAACCACAUCUUUUACAGUUACUUCCUCUGCAGAAUGAUGGGGUUUUAUUUUUAAGGCCUCAGACUUGUUUCACAUUAAACUUCUAGAACAAUAAAAUUGUGUUUAUGUUCUAAA